CCUACGGGUGGCAGCAGUGAGGAAUAUUGGUCAAUGGACGCAAGUCUGAACCAGCCAUGCCGCGUGAGGGAUGACGGCUCUGUGAGUUGUAAACUGCUUUUGUACGAGUAUAAACGCCGGUACUAGUCUCGGGUUGAGGGUAUCUUACGAAUAAGCAUCGGCUAACUCCGUGCCAGCAGCCGCGGUAAUACGGAGGAUGCGAGCGUUAUCCGGAUUUAUUGGGUUUAAAGGGUGCGUAGGCGGUCUGAUAAGUUAGAGGUGAAAUGUCGGGGCUCAACCCCGAAACUGCCGUUAAUACUGUUGGACUAGAGAAUAGUUGCAGUACGCGGAAUGUAUGGUGUAGCGGUGAAAUGCUUAGAGAUCAUACAGAACACCGAUUGCGAAGGCAGCUUACCAAACUAUAUCUGACGUUGAGGCACGAAAGCGUGGGUAGCAAACAGGAUUAGAUACCCCAGUAGUC
rnacentral:rRNA from 1 species